rnacentral:rRNA from 1 species
GAUGAACGCUGGCGGCGUGCCUAAUACAUGCAAGUCGAGCGAACAGACGAGGAGCUUACUCCUCUGACGUUAGCGGCGGACGGGUGAGUAACACGUGGAUAACCUACCUAUAAGACUGGGAUAACUUCGGGAAACCGGAGCUAAUACCGGAUAAAAUGUUGAACCGCAUGGUUCAACAGUGAAAGACGGUCUUGCUGUCACUUAUAGAUGGAUCCGCGUCGCAUUAGCUAGUUGGUAAGGUAACGGCUUACCAAGGCAACGAUGCGUAGCCGACCUGAGAGGGUGAUCGGCCACACUGGAACUGAGACACGGUCCAGACUCCUACGGGAGGCAGCAGUAGGGAAUCUUCCGCAAUGGGCGAAAGCCUGACGGAGCAACGCCGCGUGAGUGAAGAAGGUCUUCGGAUCGUAAAACUCUGUUAUUAGGGAAGAACAAAUGUGUAAGUAACUAUGCACGUCUUGACGGUACCUAAUCAGAAAGCCACGGCUAACUACGUG